rnacentral:tRNA from 1 species
GCGGGCGUAGCUCAAUGGUAGAGCCCUAGCCUUCCAAGCUAGCCAUGCCGGUUCGAUCCCGGUCGCCCGCUCCA